UACGAAGGGGGCUAGCGUUGCUCGGAAUCACUGGGCUUAAAGGGCGCGUAGGCGGGCAAGCAAGUCCGGGGUGAAAGCCCCCAGCUCAACUGGGGAAGUGCCUUGGAAACUGCUUGUCUAGAGGGAGGUAGGGGCAUGUGGAACUUCGGGUGGAGCGGUGAAAUGCGUUGAUAUCCGAAGGAACGCCGGUGGCGAAAGCGACGUGCUGGAUCUCUUCUGACGCUGAGGCGCGAAAGCUAGGGUAGCGAACGGG
rnacentral:rRNA from 1 species